rnacentral:tRNA from 1 species
GCCACCUUAGCUCAGCUGGUAGAGCAACCGCCUUGUAAGCGGUAGGUCGUCGGUUCGAAUCCGACAGGUGGCUCCA